rnacentral:rRNA from 1 species
UACGUAGGGGGGCUAGCGUUAUCCGGAAUUACUGGGCGUAAAGGGUGCGUAGGUGGUUUUCUUAAGUCAGAGGUGAAAGGCUACGGCUCAACCGUAGUAAGCCUUUGAAAACUGAGAAACUUGAGUGCAGGAGAGGAGAGUAGAAUUCCUAGUGUAGCGGUGAAAAUGCGUAGAUAUUAGGAGGAAUACCAGUUGCGAAGGCGGCUCUCUGGACUGUAACUGACACUGAGGCACGAAAAGCGUGGGGGAGCGAACAGG